rnacentral:rRNA from 1 species
GAUGAACGCUGGCGGCGUGCCUAAUACAUGCAAGUCGAGCGAACAGAUGAGGAGCCUGCUCCUCUGACGUUAGCGGCGGACGGGUGAGUAACACGUGGAUAACCUACCUAUAAGACUGGGAUAACGUCGGGAAACCGGAGCUAAUACCGGAUAAUAUAUUGAACCGCAUGGUUCAAUAGUGAAAGACGGUUUUGCUGUCACUUAUAGAUGGAUCCGCGCCGCAUUAGCUAGUUGGUAAGGUAACGGCUUACCAAGGCAACGAUGCGUAGCCGACCUGAGAGGAUGAUCGGCCACACUGGAACUGAGACACGGUCCAGACUCCUACGGGAGGCAGCAGUAGGGAAUCUUCCGCAAUGGGCGAAAGCCUGACGGAGCAACGCCGCGUGAGUGAUGAAGGUCUUCGGAUCGUAAAACUCUGUUAUUAGGGAAGAACAAAUGUGUAAGUAACUAUGCACGUCUUGACGGUACCUAAUCAGAAAGCCACGGCUAACUACGUG